rnacentral:rRNA from 1 species
AUUAGUCUUUUAAUUGAAGACUUGUAUGAAUGGUUGGACAAGAAAUAUACUGUCUCUGGUGAAUAGUUUGAAAUUAACUUUUAAGUGAAAAGGCUUAAAUGAAUUAGAGGGACGAUAAGACCCUGUAAAAGUUAAUACUUUAUAAUUAUUUUUAUAAAAUUGUUUGUAAAGUGUCAAUUAAUUAUAUAAGUAUUUUGUUGGGGCGACAAGAGUAUAAUUUGUAACUGCUGAUAAUUAUAGUCAAAUAUUUUUGUUUUUGUGAUCCUAAUUUUUGAUUAAGAGAUUAAGUUACUUCAGGGAUAACAGCGUUAUUUUUUUUGAGAGUUCAUAUCGACAAAAAAGUUUGCGACCUCGAUGUUGAAUUAAAAGUUCUUUAUAAUGCAACAGUUAUAAAAAGAAGGUCUGUUCGACCUUUAAAUUUUUA